rnacentral:lncRNA from 1 species
GCCGGCAAGAUCACUUUUUCCAAUUUUGCCAGUUAUGUGUGUAAAGUUGCCACAGGAAGAUAAGGACCUACAGUUGGCACAUUGGGAGCAAUCAUGACAAUUCAUGCUGCCAUCUGCACCAAGAUCCCUGGGGGGAGGCUCACUAUCAUCUUCCUCCCCGUUUUCCCAUUCAUGGUAGGCAAUGCCUUAAAAGCCAUCAUUGCCAUGGAUACAUCUGGGGUGAUCCUGGGAUGGAAACUUUUGACUAUGAAGCUGCAUCAUGGCGAGGUCUCUUAGGAUAUAGUAUAUCAUGUACUGUCAUGAAUUCAUUUGGAAGAACAGGGAGCCUCUAGUGAAAGUCUGGUAUAAAAUAAGGACUAACAACCCCAAGAAUGUAGAUGGUUUAAGUGAA